rnacentral:lncRNA from 1 species
GUUUCCAUUUUUUCAUACAGUGGCUGAAGAUUGUUGACGCAGAUGGAUUUGUCGCUCCUUUCUAUUGAAGUUCCAACUUAUCAUCGUCAAGAUCAAAACUAAUGGCUUAUUUGCAUUGUCUCUUGUUUGGUUAAUGUUUUCUUAAAAAGACUGGUGUAAUGUUUGAGUGUCGAUGUCAUGGUGUUAUGCGCCAUUAGUUUGUUGAUCGUCGACGCCAAGAUUAAAACUAACGGCUUGUUUGCCGGGCGUCUUAUUUAGUUCUAUGUUUGGUUAAUGCUUCCUUGGAAAGACUCAAGCAAUGUUCAACUGUUUUGUCAUGGUGCUAUGCGCAGCUGUUUCUUGCUUGUUUAUUAAUUAGUUUUCCUUGGUCUGUUCUAUUGACAUGAAUGGAAUAUAUGUAUACAUAAUUAUUGAAAUUGCUU